rnacentral:rRNA from 1 species
AAGGGCAUUUGAUCAGACAUGGUGUUUUGUGCCCUCUGCUCCUUGUGGGUAGGGGAAUCUCGCAUUUCACUGGGCCAGCAUCAGUUUUGGUGGCAGGAUAAAUCCAUAGGAAUGUAGCUUGCCUCGGUAAGUAUUAUAGCCUGUGGGAAUACUGCCAGCUGGGACUGAGGACUGCGACGUAAGUCAAGGAUGCUGGCAUAAUGGUUAUAUGCCG